UUACUGGCUUGCUUGGCCUUCUGUUUGUAGGUGGUCGUCAGCGCCUCAUCCACGGGGUUGUUGACUGGGCCCACCAUGGGCACCAGCUGCGUCUCUCUCAGGCUGGGCACGCCGGCGGCCGGCAGCAGCUUCUGCUCAGGCUCAAGGAAUAUAGGCUACGGGUCCAGAAGGACAAGUGUGAAUUCUUUCAACCUUCCAUUGAAAAUUGGGCCAUGUCGUCGACAACUCCAGGCUUCGCAAGGCACCAUCAAAGGUUAAAGUAAUCAUGGAGGCUCUAUCACCACAGAAUAUUUAUUUUGAGAUACCGCACGGAACGGUCCUUCCAUCCCACCGAGCCACACUGCCAAGCUACCAAUUUAACACUAACCUAGUCACAGGACAAUUUACAAUGACCAAUCAAUCUACUUUGGACUCUCGAGGCAACCAGAACAUCCAGAGGAAACCCAUGUGCACGUGUGAAGAACAUGCAAAGUUUCUUACAGAGGACUCUGGAAUUAACUCCAAACUUUGAUGCCGUGAGCUGUAAUAAUGUUGUGCUAAACGCUACACGACCGUGCUGCAAAAGAAAUCAAAGAUCAGCAACUCACCAAGUCAGCUGGCUUAAUGGGUCAAGUGGUGUUGACUUGUUCUAUUAGCUGGUGUUUACGAUUACUUAUAUUUUUUGAUUAAUAAAUUUCAAUUAAUUCAAUCAGUGUGACGUCCUGAAUGCAUGCACAUAAUAAUUUGGACAAUACCAAAUACUAGAAGCUAUAGGUCCUCUUCAAUCUUAUUUCUCUUAAAAGGUUGUUUCAUGGUUAGGUAUCAAAACGUAAUAAACAAUAAUAUUAAAAUGAAAGCUAAAACAUCUCAGAGGAUGUGACAUUUAAAAGCAGUUGUAUCGUCCAUGUCUGCUUAGCUCAACAAACAGAAUGACCAAAAACUGCUCUGCAUUGCAAAUGUCUGUCCUGCGACCCUGCGCUGCUGCUUUGCCAAGUUGAGCUGAAGGCAAAUCCCAAGUUACUCAAUGGCCGAAAAUAGCAGGUGUCUCAAUGACAGGUGUCAUUGCAGGCAGUCCACACAUUGCAGGCACAGUGCUUGGCUGUCAUUUCACAUGCAUUAUCUCCCUACACACAGUUUAUUUAGGGCACUAACUUAUCUGGAAUGUGUGUAUACCAUUCCCCAGUAAGCAAUGAGACACAGUUACGCCCACUCAUGGGACAGCAACCAUAAGUGUUCUUUAAAAGGUGCAUCCUAUUUUCACCGACUGACUUCAUAUUGUAAUGCUUGUUUACUUCCCUGCUCUUCACUCUUCUAUUUCUUUCCUCUCUUAGCUUCCCUACUUUGCGAGCCAAGGGUGCAAAGUUAUCUUGUGCUUUAAUUAAUUAUUGGAAUCCUUGUAUAUUAAGUCAUCCUUUCUGGUAAUCAUUCUGUUUAGAGCUGGGGAUCCCUGGAUUUUGUUCCAGUGUGACACCUCCAAGCUACCUCCACUUAAUGUUGAUGUACGUAAACAACAGCCAACUGGCUGAAAUGCUAAUAGAAACUUGGAAUUAGCAACUGCA